GUGCUCACUUUGGCAGCACAUAUCCUAAAAUUAGAAUAACACAAAUAUUAGCAUGGCCCCUGUGCAAGGAUGACAUGCCUUCAGUCUCAGCACUUGGGAAAGUUG
ensembl:snRNA U6 U6 spliceosomal RNA